UCAAGGGUACACGGUGACGUAUUCGUAUGCGAACACAUACUCCCUUGUCUCCUCUCCGCUCCUCGCCGAUGAGGAGAUCUCUCGUGUAGCUAAAUAAAAAAAUAGCUCUGGUUUCCCCUGUAGCUUGCCGAUCUUCCAGUCGGACGCCUCGCCCCGCGGCUCCGCGAGAUCGAAGGCUGGGCAGCCGAUGGGCUGACAGAUUCGUUGGUGGCUGCUAACGACAGUUGUGAUGACCCUGGUGGUGAGGGAAGCAGAGACGGCGCUCCUGCUGAGUCUGGCAAGUCGGCGGUCAAGCCGGAUCUGAAGGGGCCGGGCUGGAUUAGAAGCUUGUCUAUCGGGAGGAAUGAACAUGUUGAAAGCUUUGAAUGGGUUUUCACGGAGUUCGUUAGGAUGAUGGGUGUUGUAUCACCGAGGACCAUUUUGGCUGAUCAAUGAGGGCCGAUGGAGGUUGCAGAAUAUAGAAUGUCAGGCAACACAAACUCUCUAAUCGGCGCAAGAAGAGAACUACCGGGAGGCCAACAAAGGACCCAAGGCCACAAAAGAACAUCUUGCUGAGAGAGAGA